ACUGUCAUCGUAAUCACUACAAUAAUUUUUUCUGAACAUAAUGGCUUAUCAAGAGCUAACAAUUUAUACUUGUUUAACAUUCUCAUCAUUAAAUUCCAGCCCAUACAUUCAUUAAUGUGUUCUGUAUUAUAAAUUAUAUAUGUGUGUCUCUUAGAGCACUUCAUAAUUCUAGGCCAUUGAUAUUUAAUUUUUUAAUUUUUUCUGUCUUUAUUUUUAUCCCAUCAAAAUUUACAUGACA